GGGGAUUUAGCUCAGCGGUAGAGCGCUUGCCUGGGGAGCGCAAGGCCCUGGGUUCGGUCCCCAGCUCCG
rnacentral:tRNA from 1 species